UGAGCAACCUGCCCUUUUCAUCGGAAUAAGCGUUGGAAACGACGUCUAAUGCCGAAUACGACCUCCUUUCGCAUGAUCUGAAGUGGAAAGCUCCGGCGGAGAAGGAUGAGCUCGCGGCCUAUCAGCUUGUUGGUG
rnacentral:rRNA from 1 species